rnacentral:rRNA from 1 species
GUUGUCCGGAAUUAUUGGGCGUAAAGCGCGCGUAGGUGGCCUCAUAAGUCCGCUGUGAAAGUCCAAGGCUCAACCUUGGAAAGCCGGUGGAUACUGUGAGGCUAGAGUACGGAAGAGGCGAGUGGAAUUCCUGGUGUAGCGGUGGAAUGCGCAGAUAUCAGGAGGAACACCAAUAGCGAAGGCAGCUCGCUGGGACGUGACUGACACUGAGGCGCGAAAGCGUGGGGAGCGAACAGG